rnacentral:rRNA from 1 species
GCCUGCCCAGUGACUUCAAGUUCAACGGCCGCGGUAUUCUGACCGUGCAAAGGUAGCGCAAUCACUCGUCCCUUAAAUAAGGUCCUGUAUGAAUGGCUAGACGAGGGCUUAACUGUCUCCCCCUUCAGGUCAGUGAAAUUGAUCUAUCCGUGCAGAAGCGGAUAUAAAAAUACAAGACGAGAAGACCCUUUGGAGCUUUAGGUACAAGACUUACUUACGUCAAAUAAUCUAAUCAAGGCACAAACUUAGUAUAAAACAUAAGACUUUACUUCGGUUGGGGCGACCAUGGAGGAAAAAACAGCCUCCAAGUGGAUUGGACACAUUCCAAAAACCAAGAGAAACAUCUCUACGUCACAGAACAUCUGACCAAUUAUGAUCCGGUCACAAGACCGAUCAACGGACCAAGUUACCCUAGGGAUAACAGCGCAAUCCUCUCCAAGAGUCCAUAUCGACGAGGGGGUUUACGACCUCGAUGUUGGAUCAGGACAUCCUAAUGGUGCAGCCGCUAUUAAGGG